rnacentral:rRNA from 1 species
GAUGAACGCUGGCGGCGUGCCUAAUACAUGCAAGUCGAGCGAACAGACGAGGAGCUUGCUCCUCUGACGUUAGCGGCGGACGGGUGAGUAACACGUGGAUAACCUACCUAUAAGACUGGGAUAACUUCGGGAAACCGGAGCUAAUACCGGAUAAUAUAUUGAACCGCAUGGUUCAAUAGUGAAAGACGGUUUUGCUGUCACUUAUAGAUGGAUCCGCGCCGCAUUAGCUAGUUGGUAAGGUAACAGCUUACCAAGGCAACGAUGCGUAGCCGACCUGAGAGGGUGAUCGGCCACACUGGAACUGAGACACGGUCCAGACUCCUACGGGAGGCAGCAGUAGGGAAUCUUCCGCAAUGGGCGAAAGCCUGACGGAGCAACGCCGCGUGAGUUAUGAAGGUCUUCGGAUCGUAAAACUCUGUUAUUAGGGAAGAACAAAUGUGUAAGUAACUAUGCACGUCUUGACGGUACCUAAUCAGAAAGCCACGGCUAGCUACGUG